rnacentral:rRNA from 1 species
CGUAAGCUGUCGCUAGUGGGAUCGGCCCCGCGGUGCAUUAGCUAGUUGGUAAGGUAAAGGCUUACCGAAGGCGAUGAUGCAUAGCCCGAGUUGAGAGACUGAUCGGGCCACAUUGGGGACUGAGACACGGGGCCCAAACUCCUACGGGGGGAGGGGCAGCAGGUAGGGGGAAUCUUCCACAAUGGACGCAAGUCUGAUGGAGCAACGCCGCGUGAGUGAAGUAAGGUUUUCGGAUACGUAAAGCUCUGUUGUUGGUGAAGAAGGAUAGAGGUAGUAACUGGUCCUUUAUUUGACGGUAAUCAACCAGAAAGUCACGGCUAACUACGUGCCAGCAGCCGCGGUAAU